rnacentral:hammerhead_ribozyme from 1 species
AUCCACCUGACGAGUCCCAAAUAAGACGAAACAUGAGGCCUGGAU